rnacentral:lncRNA from 1 species
AGAUUAGUUUAACAUGUAAAAUGUCCGUAAAGUAUCAUCAUAUGAUUGGCUUUAGGGCACAUUUCCAACAAUUUCCAACAAUCUCCCACUUGCACUAAAGUCAAUCAGUAGUGUAUCUUAUACAUGCUAGUUGAGAGAGCUUAUGCUUGUAGGUUAACUCGGUUAUGUAUUAAUCCCUUUUAUUAUUUAAAAGGGAUUUACUUAUCAAAUGUUUCCAAAACAUUUGAUGAUGUCUCUUUCUUGUGUUCGAAUGCUUUGAUGAGACCUUGAUUCCAUGGCUUGAGCUAUCGCCCCAUUACGUCGUAGUAUCCUACUAACGACCUUAUGGUUUGGAUUCAAUCAUUGGUUCUAUAAGAACCCCUUCAUUCAAAACACCUUUUUGAAGCAGUUUCUAAAACAAUAUAUCGUCAUAUAUUUCGUUUGUAUACUUUAUACAAACUUUGCUCCAACCUUGAGACCAUUGUAGUACAAUACUAACAAUUCAUUCAUAUGAUUAGUACUUCAUCCAUUAUGAAGUUCCAUUUGUUAAAAUGGCUUAUUUUCACUUUGGUUAACAACCUAAGUGAAUGCACGCUUCCAGAGUCCCACUCUGAUGUUUCUUUCUUUAAAGGCAAUAAUACUCUUUCAGUUGCUUUGGUUCUGAUCUUGGGAUUUAGUAAUAUCUUAUAGUGACAACCCUUGUGGUUCUUCACUUUUGGAUAUCUACUUCACAAGUCCAUACAUGUGUCCCUUUUUGUGAUUUUGUGACACAUUCAUUAUAAGGGUUAUGAAAGUGAUUUCCUAUCACAUAGGAAAAUGCUUUCUUAAAUCUACAACAUUUGAGAUUUAAUUUCCCUAUUUAAUAUCCUUGAGAUAGCCUUGCUAUAUCAAUAAGUCCAAUUUCAAGUCUAUACUUCAAAAUUGACCGUGUCAUGUUUUGUCAUUUCUCGAGUAACAUCUAUGUUUUAUCAAGUCUAUCAAAUAGACUUUAUUCACAUCUUUUUGCUCAAAUUAUGACAUCACUCCCACUGGCCUUGUUGUAACUUAGCAUUCAUUCAAAAAUAACAAUUAUAUUUUCUUGAUUUGAAUGCAUAUUGCUGCCACUUAACUUAAAUGAAUCAUACACAAAAGAAUUCCUUCUCAAGUAAUUCCAUUUGAAAUGUGUGACUUGUUUCAUUAAGUCUAUUCAUUUAAAUUAUAUGGUGUCAUACACCAUACUUCAAGUUUUAGUCAAACUAAGACCUUUAAUGUAGUCAUAUAAGAAUUAUCCAAGUCUUUAGUGGAAGCAUGGCUCCUACUAAGGAUAUAGAAACUCAACCAUUCCUUCUAGGUGGUUGAUAUAAUUCUUUAUCAAAACUACAUAGAGCGUUAUAGUUACAUGAGAUGUUGAAUUUGGAUUGUCUUGUUGUUAAACCAUAUGUUGUGACUCAUUUUGAAACUAUUUCCCUUUUGUUUCAUCAACUUGUCCAUAUGCUUAGUUAUUUAGCUUGUUCUCAUAAAAGAGAAUGAUGGACAACUCCCAACAUAUAACCAUUUUAUGCUAGGUUGACGAAACCAACAUUCAAAGACUAUUCUUUAGAAUGUCACACAACAUAGAAUUUUAACGUUUGAAGAGCUUGAGUCCUUUUAACAAUUAAAAUUACAAACUUUUAAUAAUAGUCAAGUACUAUUAUUCUUUAGACAACUAUAAACCAAUCACAUUCAAGUUUAUAUCCAUUUUCACACCUCCCACUAUUUCUCAUGACUUUAAUGAGAAAUCAUUUCAUACAUUCAAAAUGUAUAAAAGUGGAGUAUAUUGGAAGAAGACAUUGUGUAGUAGCUUUAAAACAUUUCAAGCUUAUUUGUUUCAAUCUUCACUAAGUUAAUGUCUUUGUUAUUAAGUGACUAAAGUCUUUAAACAUUUUAUAGAUUUAGACACUUCUUUCUUGGUUUAAUCACUAAUACAAUUGACAUUUUAAAACCUUUUAAAGAAUGCCCAAUUAGUUGUUCAAAACUACUAAUUG